UUCUUGCAAAUGGAUCCAAAAAGAAUGAAGUUUCUGAGGAACAUGCUUCAACUUCUACAUCCAGUUGCCACAUGGAACUUUGGAAGUGAACAUUAUAUUACAUAUAUAUAGUUACUUUGAUGAUGAAUGAUGAUGCAUAAUAUAUAGUAUUUGGAAGAAGAAGAAGAAGAAAAAAAAGGACUUAUAUUGCUCCUAAGUUGUUGGUGUACAUAAUAAAACUCAUCCCAUCACAUAUAUUUUUAUAUCUUAUAGUUCUGUUCAUAUAUAUGAACCUGGAGUCUGGAGUAUAUAGACCAAAUGUAUUAUUCUUAUUAUAAUACGAGGCAAUAUUCUAUGAUCAGUUACAAGAAAUUUGCCUAUAUAUAUAUAUAACAAUAAAUUAGGACUUCAAUGUCAACAUUAUAGGAUAUGUUUAUUACAGUUUAAUUUGUUUUUAAAAUUGAAGUUUGAGUUGUACUCAUGGCCAAUUACAGGAAUAUAUGGUCUUGGACUCUUGGUAUUCACAUGUUUGAUUGUUGGUACUCUUUGUAUACUUUUCUCUUUUUAAGUGUAAGAUUGAUGCUGAG
rnacentral:lncRNA from 1 species